GUCAGUCGGGCGGUGUCUUCCGCUGCUUGACUGGCUGCAGUUUGAACCGGACGGUCUGUUAAAAUAAGAAUUUAAAUCUAGAACAACGCCUCCUUUGAGCGGCCCGGACAAUCCUGAAUCCUUUAGGGUUGCCAUUCCAUCGAGGCUUAAACGAGGAUGACGCGGAGGUGUUGCCCAUUGAGGGGUUUUGGUGACAAGGAGUCACUGAACAAAACGCUAAACCAAAAGAAAAAGAAAUAUUAAAAAAGCCAACGAUCCUUUAUAAAUCCUAGCCGAGUCCUUUCCGUCUACAUUCGGUGUGAAGAGCAAAACCCAAAUUUCAACACAUUUUACUGCUUAGCAACGAAAAAAAAGCGAGUGUCAAAACAUUGUUUUACUUGCUCAUACAUUGUUGUGGCAGAAACGCGUUAAUCAUGUAACGGUGAAUUUUUUUCUCUUUUGUUGAUGCAGCAUCAAAAGACACGCGAUAGGUUCCGGUGGUCAUUAACUAUUCAAGAUGGUAGACCUGUCAAUGUAAAAGACAGGGCCCAUCCCCAGCAACGUCAACCUGCAGAAAGAAAAAGGCCAAUUUCCAUGGCCUUCAGACUCGAAGGUCGCGAAGAUAAUUACGUAAAACUGGCACGGGGUGGUGUAGAGGUUGGGUGAGAAUGACACGUGUUUCAACAUUAUCAAGCAGACCCAUCCCCGGCAAAGUCACCUGCAGAAGGAAAGGCCAGUUUGCAUUUCAAUCGAAGGUCAUGGAUAUCUUUACGUAAAAGGUGUCAUGCAGUGGGUGUAGAGGUUGGGUGAGAACGGUACGUUUUGCAUCAUUAUCAAGAAGUCGACAGGUAUCAGUCGAGUGAGCAUCUCCGACAC
rnacentral:lncRNA from 1 species